rnacentral:rRNA from 1 species
GGGUCAGUAGGUUGGUCGUGCCUCCGGUACGUACUGGUCUCACUGAUUCCUCCUUCCUGAAGAACCGUAAUGCCAUUAAUUUGGUGUUGCGGGGAAACAGGACUGUUACUUUGAAAAAAUUAGAGUGUUUAAAGCAAGAUAACGCUUGAAUACAUUAGCAUGGAAUAAUGAAAUAGGACGAUCGAUCCUAUUUUGUUGGUUUCUAGGAUUGACGUA